GACGAACGCUGGCGGCGUGCUUAACACAUGCAAGUCGAGCGGUAAGGCCCUUUCGGGGGUACGACGAGCGGCGAACGGGUGAGUAACACGUGGGUGACCUGCCCUCAGCUCUGGGAGUAAGCCUGGGAAACCGGGUCUAAUACUGGAUAUGACUCCAUGACGCAUGUUGUGGGGUGGAAAGCCUUGUGCGGCUGAGGAUGGGCCCGCGGCCUAUCAGCUUGUUGGUGGGGUGAGGCCUACCAAGGCGACGACGGGUAGCCGGCCUGAGAGGGCGACCGGCCACACUGGGACUGAGACACGGCCCAGACUCCUACGGGAGGCAGCAGUGGGGAAUCUUGCGCAAUGGGCGAAAGCCUGACGCAGCGACGCCGCGUGAGGGAUGACGGGCCU
rnacentral:rRNA from 1 species